CAAACAAGGCACCAUGGCGUCCGCUGGCUUUCCAACGUGAACCGUGAUGAAAGCCGUAAGGGCAGUUUGUAGGGGUGUCCACAGUGCUACUCAGGCCUUCUGGGAUAUGGAAACAACCUCUGGGGCCAACCUAAGGUCACCAGCAGUGCUGGGAAUUUGCUGGAGAACUUGCACUCCCGACAUCGAGGGGAGUAUGAGACACGCUGGGUGAGGAUAUUCUCCUUGAAGAUUCAAAGAAAGGGCAGCCGGAUGGCACCGUCUGCGUCUCCUUCUGUGGCCAGAAAAGGAAGGUUCCAGGCUGACCUGGUGGAAAGUGCAUGGGCUGGCAGGGAGGAAAAUGGGUUUCUAUGCCCAGCACGACUAGAAAAGAACCUGGAGAUCUAGUGGAGAGAAGGCAAGCAAUUUCAUUUUAUGGGUGACUCCGAUUUACAGCAUCAGCUGCUGGCUCCUGGGCCAGGA